AUUGAACGCUGGCGGAAUGCUUUACACAUGCAAGUCGAACGGCAGCACGGACUUCGGUCUGGUGGCGAGUGGCGAACGGGUGAGUAAUGUAUCGGAACGUGCCCAGUCGUGGGGGAUAACGUAGUGGAAAUUACGCUAAUACCGCAUACGAUCUAUGGAUGAAAGCGGGGGAUCGCAAGACCUCGCGCGAUUGGAGCGGCCGAUAUCAGAUUAGGUAGUUGGUGGGGUAAAGGCCCACCAAGCCAACGAUCUGUAGCUGGUCUGAGAGGACGACCAGCCAAACUGGAACUGAGACACGGUCCAGACUCCUACGGGAGGCAGCAGUGGGGAAUUUUGGACAAUGGGCGAAAGCCUGAUCCAGCCAUUCCGCGUGCAGGAUGAAGGCCCUCGGGUUGUAAACUGCUUUUGUACAGAACGAAAAGGUUUCUACUAAUACUAGGAGCUCACGACGGUACUGUAAGAAUAAGCACCGGCUAACUACGUGCCAGCCGCCGCCGUAA
rnacentral:rRNA from 1 species